UGAUGUCAUUCAGAACUGUAAAAGGAAAAAUGCCAUAGUCUACCGCACCACCUUUACUGAUGUGCUGCCAGAAGCUAUGAAGCUCAUCAGUGCCACAAAGGAUUCUAAGGUGAACAAGGCAGUGGUGAGGAUACUGUCCAUUUGGGAGGAGAGAAGUGUCUAUUCAGAGGAGUUCAUCAGUCAGCUGAGGAAUGGUUUGGUUCAGAAAGAAGAACCAGUGAAAGUUUCAGCUCCAGUCAGCUCCAAAUCUGCCCUGAAAUCCAAGAUUGUUGCUGAGUUUGUGCCCUCAGCAUUUAUUGAGCAUCUGUCCAAGUACAGGAAGUCCAUGGAUGAGAUUGAGCUCAAAGAGAAACAGUUAGCUGCAAUGAGAGUGGAUGUGUGCAGCACAGAGGCUCUGAAGAAACUGAAAGACAAGGCAGGAGGUAAAAGGUUUUCUAAAGACUUUGAAGAUGGGAGUGCAAAGCUUCAGGAGUUUGUUUCCUUUCUGGAUGGAGAGGUCAAAAAAGGCUCUCCAUUGAUAGAAGCUCUGGAAAAUGCAGAUAUAUUUUAUGAGAUGCAAUAUAAAGAGGUCAAGAUUGUGGCUAAAGCCUACCAGACAUUUGCAAACCGGGUGUCGCACCUUAAGCGCAAGCUUGAUGCACUGAAGAAUAUGUUGCCUGAUCCAGAUGACUCCCCCAUUCCCUCCCCGGUUGAAGAUGCUCCCUCACCCACGGGCUCUGAGUCACCCUUCAAUGCUCUUGAAAGGAUUGGUACCCCAGACCCAGAGCUGGAUGGGCAAGCAAUGGAGGAGGACCUCAUUGCUUUGGCUGAUGCUCCCAGCCCUCUCUCAUCUGUCGGGGGUUCCUCACCACCAAGUGCCCCUUUGGGAGACAAAGACAAUCGUGACGUAGAGGACAUGGACCUCUCGGAUGUAGAGGAGAUGGAAACACCUGCCAUCAUAGUUCAGGAACAUGUGGCCUCUGCUGUUGUGUCCAAACAGUCCACUGUCACAGAAUCCUUACCAACAAAUGAAGGCACACAAACAAAGCAGAUCGCAACCCCAGCAGUGACCGUUCCCUCAGCAGUAACAACAACAACAACCACCACCACACCAACCACACCAUCACUGCCAGUGAACCUUGCUGGUGUUGACCUAGGCAAGAUCAGCUCCAUCCUCAGCACAAUCACAAAUGUUAUGAAGAACUCAGCUGUUGGAGUUAGUCCUGUAUCUCGGUCUUCCCCAAGUGUACCUUCUACUCCAAGCUCAACUCAAAAGACUCCCACUCCCACUACUACCCCUCCAGCCAACCCACUGGCCAGCAUCCUUUCUAGGGUGGACAUCAACCCCAACACUCUGCUCAGUGUUCUAUCCAAAACACAAACCCAUGGGGGUUUUCAGGGUCUGUCCUCUUUGCUAAACAACCCGGCUGCAAAGACCACCACAAUUUCAAAUUCUGAAAAGCAAUCCCUAACCACACCUAUUACAGCAGAGACUCAUACAUCUCCUAAAGUCUUACCUACUCCAUCUAGUCUCCCACUGGCUAGGGAUCCCACCUCUCAAGGAUGUGUGGCUCCUACGCCCAUGCAGUCCAAUAUGGCGAAUGAGAAGGGCUCUUCUCUCAACUCUAACUUGGACUCCAAGAUUGAUAACUUCCUCCAAGGUCACCCAGGACUGAAAGGCUUUAAUUUGGGCUUUCCAUCUGUUCUGACAUGGCCUAAAGGAGCUGUUGAUAGCCCUUCAGCAAGUGCAGAAAACCUUGGUGGAACCCCUGUAAGGGAUGAAGCUGGUUCUACACCAACGCAAGAUGAAAUUAUGGAUGUUCCUCAAUCAGAGCUGUUCCCGUAUCAGCAGGGACAAAUUAUGUCUAUUUCUACAGCUUUGGAUGCUAAAUCAACACGUCCACUUCCAUCUUGGCAGGAACAAAAUGCUCAGGCCAAUCCACAAGCUCAUAUGGACAUGCACCAGAAGACUGCACCAAAAAAAGACUUCCAAAAGUCUGUGCCCUCUCUUGCUGAGGCAGAAGCUAUGCGGCAUCAACGCAUCGAAGCAAUGCGUUCCUCUUCUUUGUCCAGCAACCAGCAACCUUUGAGAGACCGUGUAGAAGCCACCGAGAGAUCAGGUGUGAUGCUUCAAGAGCCGAGACAAAACCCCUUAAUUCGUGAUGUGGGACCAAAUUCUGAAAUGGUGGAAGGUAGCUAUGCAUAUCGAGAUGAUCAAGAGAAGCAAGUAUCGGCCAGCUCUGAUGCAUACGGUGCAGAGCCAUACCUUGCCAAAGAACCAAGACAGGAUCUUGCUGCACCUAACUUCUUCACAGCACCUCUGCCACCGAUCCCAAAGCUUCCUCCUCCACCACAAGACUUCAUGCAUCCAGCAUCUUCGAGAGCAAGUGGUCCUCGUCCCACCAGAGAUUUGCAGGAACCUUUCGGGGAAGCAGAAAGAGGUGGUGUUGAUGGAUCGCAUGCCCCAGCAAACUCUGAUUAUGAACACUUGUCUCAUGAGGUUCCAAACAAGGAGCCUUUCCAUCCACAUGGGGAUGGGGCCUCUCACUCUGCUCAUGCACCGCACCUUGCUCCUAAAAUCCCACCGAAUGGUCCAGUGGACUACAACCACCGACAUCCACCAAGAGUACCUCUGCAGCGCCCUCCAAGUGUACCCCAUCACCACAUUGGGUCUCCUCCUUCAGUAAGGGGUUACCAUGAAGCCUCAAGUCCUCCUCGACCUUUACCUGAAGAUCCAUACUUUGACCCAUACUAUGAACAACCACCACGUAGCCCCUCUCCCCCUCAUUACGACAUGCACCCGAUUUCACCUCAUGCACAAGAGCAUUAUACUGAAGAAAUCCCACCUCACUACCCAGAGCACAGGGUUCCUCCUCACUUGGAACACAGGCAUCCACCACCACACCAUGUUCGUCCACCUCACCCUGGGCACUAUCCAGCUCCUAGGCCCCUUCGUAGGCCACCACCGGUCUGUCAUGAGCCACCCUUUCCAAGGGGCAAGCGACCUGGCCCACCGUUUGGUGGACCUCCCAGAUUCAGGGGCCCCUUUUAUCCCCCUAAAAGACCCUUCUUGCCUCCGCAUUACUGAAGUGUGUCUUUGCUCAGGUGUUUAGUGCAUGUCACAGUGAGCAGGUAAAGACGUCCAAGUGCAGUUGGGUUAUCAGCAAGACAAAGAUUGCUGUGGACAGUGACACGAAGGGGAUGGUGUUGAACACCUUUGCAAGAUCACAGUAGAGAAGUGCAAAUUUAUUCAAGUAAUCAGGGGCAUGGAAUCAGAUCGCCAAAAACUCUUGAGCAAGAUGUGCUCUUUUCCAACAAGAAGUCAAGGAGCACUGGAGCAGAGAAAUGGAAAGAAUAUCUGGCAAGGAAUGCUGGGGGAAUGAGAUGGAUCUGAAGGCAGACAAAACAAGAGUUUUUUUUAUUUUUCUCCCUCUGUCCAUCCUCAAUGUAUGCAGAUCUUCUGGUGAGGACUUUCUCUGCCCAGCAACAGAGUGCUUGAGGGGACAUCCAAUGCCCUUGUAUGCCAUCCGCUUGCAAAUCAAGUAUUACAGUGAUAUAUGAAAGGGACAGCUGUUUCUAUGUGACAGCACCCAAUGGUUUUGCGGCUAAGCUCUGUGAGGAAAAUAUAGACGCUCCCUUAAACCGAGUAAGCAUCACGGUUUCCACACCCCGAGGGAGGACGGGAGAUGGACAGGAGGGGGACACCGGCUUUCGACGUCAAAAGCUACGGGUUAUACGGAGUGUCAACACUGUGAAUAUAGGCUACAGCAUUACCGUGCGCCUUCUUUACAGCCUCUGCAUUAAAACAGCUGUCACGGUUCAAACCUUUCCACCGGGACUCGUGUUUAACAUCGCGACUCUUCCCUCGCCGCUGAGCCGCUCUCCAGUGCUGAAACCCUGGGCGCAGCUGUCGCUCCGUCCCCUUAGGAAACUGU